rnacentral:sRNA from 1 species
UUUUUUUCUUCUGAUAUUCACAUAAGUAUAAAGGGUAUGCAGUCAAAAUUGUUCCCGCACA